rnacentral:misc_RNA from 1 species
GCAGUAGUUAAUGUUACCCUAUUUCUGAAUUAAAUGGGUUAAAAAAUUUUAAAAUUCUUCAUAUGACCCCUUUUGGUCCCUAAGCAGGCUUCAAGGAAUAUGGUUAUUAUGAGGUUAAUGGAUGUAAAUAGUUAGCCUUUGUUAACUUAUUUACUUGUAAAAUAAACUCCAAGGUGAGAUUAGGAGGUUAAUGCUUGUUUACAUUACACCUUUUAAUAUCUUCCAAAUGAUUAUUAGAUUACUGAUGGAUUCAUUUUUUUUCCUGCAAUCUGUAAAAUAAAGAUCUGU